GACGAACGCUGGCGGCGUGCUUAACACAUGCAAGUCGAGCGGUAAGGCCCUUUCGGGGUACGACGAGCGGCGAACGGGUGAGUAACACGUGGGUGACCUCGCCUCAGCUCUGGGAUAAGCCUGGGAAACCGGGUCUAAUACCGGAUAUGACUCCAUGACGCAUGUUGGUGGGGUGGAAAGCCUUGUGCGGCUGAGGAUGGGCCCGCGGCCUAUCAGCUUGUUGGGU
rnacentral:rRNA from 1 species